rnacentral:rRNA from 1 species
AAGGGCACCACAAGAACGCGUGGAGCAUGUGGCUUAAUUUGACUCAACGCGGGAAAUCUUACCGGGUCCGGACACACUGAGGAUUGACAGGCAAUAUUAAUAUAGUUUGUGUCUCAUACAAAUUGUGUGGGUCCAAACCUCGAACAUAUUAUGUGAAAAUAUGCUAGUCCUUUCAUGAUUAUGUGAUAGGUGGUGCAUGGCCGUUCUUAGUUCGUGGAGUGAUCUGUCUGCUUAAUUGCGUUUCAUUAUGUGACCUAAUAAAUUUUACGUAUGUUGCUUAUACAGUUUGACCCCUCCUUUUUUGGGUGUGUGCGUCUUACGUUUUGUUAUAUUGCUCAUACAAUUUAGGUCCUGAAAGCAACGAACGUGACCGCAACCUCUUGUUGCUUUCAAGCAAGUGUACCCUACACCUUAUGUCUUACGUAUAUAUUAACACUCACAGUGUAUUCUUAUCUGUGCUGUGUGAUAUUACUUAUACUGCAGGGGUAACGUUACCAUUCAUUACUAAAGAAAGCCUUUUAAACUAGAGGGACCGCUGUUCUUUCUUAAACCAGAGGAAGGUUGCGGCAAUAACAGGUCUGUGAUGCCCUUAGAUGUUCCGGGCUGCACACGUGCUACAAUGAUUAUUGCAGUGAGCAUCUCAUUUUUGAUUACACCGCACGCGCGAGAUCAUUUACACACUAUUGUGUCUAUGUAUCUUUGUGCGCGGUAAAGCCUACUUCGAAAGUAAGCUGGGUAAUCCAUUAGAAGUAAUGAUUUCCUUUAAUGUUAUUAUAGCAUCUUUUUGGUAUAGUAAUUCUGUGCACACUUAUAUACGGCAUCUUUACCCGGGUAACCUUGUUGUUACUUUUUUUGUGUGUAUCGAUGUUUUACACCGUAUGUGCGAUUGUCAAUUCAUGGUGGGGACAGACCAUUGUUAAUUGUUGGUCUCGGUCUUAACUAGGAAUGCCUUGUACGGGUCUUUGGUUCAACAAACCACCCGGAAUACGUCCCUGCCCUUUGUACACACCGCCCGUCGCUCUUACCGAUGGACUUCUCUGUGAGUUUGAGGGACUGGGAACGCAUAUUACCUUUUGUUGUAGUCUGCACACAUUACCUAUGGAAACUUAAACGAACAGUGUGGUCUAAAGGAAAGAGAAGUCGUAACAAGGCAUCA